UUUAUUGUCUUGGGCAACACAGCAUUCAUCCUUCCCAUGGCUUACCUCUACAUUGUGUUUAUUCUCUAUUUGCUCCCCCUGGAAUAUAAACUCUAUGAAAGCAGGGUCGGGGUCAGUCUCAUUCUGUAAUCUUUACCUAUAAAAUGUCCGGCAAGCAGUAGGCCUUCACUCAAGGUUUUUUGCAGAAGUAAACGAAGCCCAAAUCCCCAAGCCUGUAGUCUCAUCACUGGCAGAGGACACGUUGGCUGAAACCGGGCAGGACAGCAGAGCAAUGCAUUCCUGCGGUUUCUCCCCCUCCCACUGUUCCAGCUCUGAGAUAACUGAUCAUUUACAAGAGGGGGAACAGAAAACCUUAGAAAGGAGAUGUGUGUGCCAAACGCUAAACUCAGGAGAACGCUGGCCAGUUGUUUAACAGUUUCAGACUCAUCAAGGAGCAGAAUGGGAGAAAUACUUUAAAAGCUGGAAAAUGACGUGAUGGCAGGGCUAUAACAGCCUGCUUUGUCCUUGAGGUAGCCUUGUGAAUGAAAGCUACGUAUGCCAGAAGUAUAAAACAAAGAUUGAAUCCCUGCCACUACGUCAUAUCAUCCCUGGACUGUUUCUGGAAUACUGGAACAGGAAAGAGAAAUAAACCAUCUACUUAAGCCAU